AUUGAACGCUGGCGGCAGGCCUAACACAUGCAAGUCGAACGAGUGGCGGACGGGUGAGUAAUAUAUGGGAACGUGCCUGAUGGAGGGGGAUAACUACUGGAAACGGUAGCUAAUACCGCAUACCAUCAGAUGUGCCCAGAUGGGAUUAGCUAGUUGGUGGGGUAAAGGCUCACCAAGGCGACGAUCCCUAGCUGGUCUGAGAGGAUGACCAGCCACACUGGAACUGAGACACGGUCCAGACUCCUACGGGAGGCAGCAGUGGGGAAUAUUGGACAAUGGGCGCAAGCCUGAUACAGCCAUGCCGCGUGUAUGAUGAAGGCCUUCGGGUUGUAAAGUACUUUCAGCGGGGAGGCGUUACCCGCAGAAGAAACACCGGCUAACUACGUGCCAGCAGCCGCGGUAAUAC
rnacentral:rRNA from 1 species